rnacentral:lncRNA from 1 species
CCAGGAUGGUCUCCAUCUCCUGACCUCGUGAUCCUCCACCUUGGCCUCCCAAAGUGCUGGGAUUACAGGCGUGAGCCACCGCGCCAGGCCGGAAGAUACCAUGUUUAUCUGGAGAGGAUAUCCCAGCAGGAAAGUCCAACUGAGGACAUAGCAAGAAGUCUGCAAACUAAAGAGAGAGGCCUCAGGAGAAACCCUGCUGGCACCUUGAACUCGGAACUUCUAGCCUCCAGAACUGCAAGAAAAUACAUUCCUGCUUUUGUAAGCCACCAAAUCUAUGGUAUCUUGUGGCAGCCCAAGCAGAUUAACAUACUUAAUGUAACUUCCACAAUAAGAGGAUAUUUUUAAUCUUUGUCUUUGAAGACUGAGAUUUCUAGGAAAAGCCAAGAUCAUCUGAACCAGACCUCUGUCCCUAUUUUAUAAACUGCUCAACAGUCCAACCCGGACACCAGAUCUUGAUUCUAAUACCUUUUCAGUCAAAGAAACAAGGAUGCUUAUGAGAAGUAGUCAAAUCUAUAGUUAGGGAAGACAACAUACAGAAUGAACAUGUCAUAUCCUGUAAUGGCAGAAGGGAAGGCAGUAAUCAAGAGACAGAAGGAUGAGAGUAUGUCAAACGGGCACCAGAGUCAACCUGAAAAGCUCCCAAUGCCAAAAGAGUGAGAAAUUUGAACAACAAAAUAAAUAAAGAAGUAUAAGAUUAUAACCCAGUAUAAAAAAAUUAAGAUCUAUAAGUCUAUAGUGUUAUAAAUAUAUGAUUGACUAAGGAAUAAAUGAAGAUAAAGGAUACAUGAUCCUUACAGAAAAUUCCAAAUAACAUGUGUAGAUUCUUUCUCCUCCAGGGGGUUGACUAUAAUCCCUCCCACUCUGGAGUAUAGGCUGGACUUGCUUAUUUGCUUCUGUAGAGUAAUGGGAUAAAAUAGGUUGCUUUAUGUUGGAAAAAACCUGACGAACACUGCCUUAACCAAGUGACUGAGAGGAACAUAAUCUGUGUUAAAUCAUUUUGAUAUAAUGUGUACCUGAUAAGAUGGGAUAAAAUUGGCACUUUCUUCCUGUGAUAUUUGUCACAAAAUUCCAUAAAUGUAGUCUGACUAUGAAAAAAAAUUUCUCAAACUCAAAUUUAGAAGACUUCUUCAAAAUACCUGACCAGUGAUUCUGAAAAUUGUCAAGGCCUUUGAAAACAAGUAAGGACUGAGGACAUGUCAAAGGUACAGUAAAUUAUGGAGACAAGAUGUGGUAUCCUGGACUGGAUACUGGAAUAGAAAAACAUAAUCAUUGAAAAACUGGUGAAGCUCUAAUAAAGUCUGAACUUUUGUUAAUAGCAAUUUUCCAAUAUUUAUUUCUUGGUCGUGAUAAAUUUCUCAUAGUAACAUAAAAUGUUAAUAUUAAGGGAGAUGGGGAGAAGUAUUUGGGAAUUCUAUGGAUUAUCUUUGCAACUUUUCUGAAAACUAAAAUUAUGACAGAAUAUAAAGUUUUUUUAAAUAAUAAUAUACAGUUAGGGUUGUGGGAAGAAAUGUUCCAUGACCAAGUUUUGUUACUAUUACAGUGCAAAAAAAGUAGAAUUUAUCAGUUAUCAAAAGAUUAAUACAAUGUACAAAAUACAAUAAGCAGAAUACAAAUAAAGAUUGCCAGAACUAAGAUAUUAAGAGAAACCCUUACAGAAAAAGACUUUGCUUACACACACACACAAUUUGAAAAUUGAUAAGACGGUCUUGGAGAUGAAGGCUUUAGAGUGCAAUCUCUCUUGCAAAACUGACUGUAGAAACUGGGGUGAAUUGUGCUAGCGGAAGUGGCUUCCUACAUUUGUUUUGGUUCAAGAAGCAGGAAGAUGGAGCCACUCAAUCAAUCUCACAGGCCAAGUUUAUUGAAAGCAAUCUCUGUGCAACCGAGAACAAAGGAGUGUUUAGGUUGUGAAGAUUGGAAGGUUAACAUGACCCUUGCUCAUACUCCAGGAGUCUUCUGCAUUUUGCUAGUCUGACAAAUUGAAUCUUGGUCACUAAUGAGCAAUAUGAAAGGAACUUGAACUGUGCUGACACAUAGAGGCAUUCAGGAAAAAAGGGGGCAAAGUGUACUUACAAAUUAUUUCUAUCAUGUAUCAGAGGAGAUGAAACAGUAUUAGUGUGUGCAUGUGUGUUUGUAUAAAUAUACACACGUUUAAGGUAUGUACACACACACAUGUACAUUUCUGUGGAUGUG